GACGAACGCUGGCGGCGUGCUUAACACAUGCAAGUCGAACGGAAAGGCCCAGCUUGCUGGGUACUCGAGUGGCGAACGGGUGAGUAACACGUGGGUGAUCUGCCCUGCACUCUGGGAUAAGCCUGGGAAACUGGGUCUAAUACCGGAUAUGACCAACUGUCGCAUGGUGGUUGGUGGAAAGCUUUUGCGGUGUGGGAUGGGCCCGCGGCCUAUCAGCUUGUUGGUGGGGUAAUGGCCUACCAAGGCGACGACGGGUAGCCGACCUGAGAGGGUGAUCGGCCCCAACGGGACUGAGGACACGCCCAGGCUCCUUCCGGGGGCAAGCGGUGGGAAUAUUGCACAAUGGGCGCAAGCCUGAUGCAGCGACGCCGCGUGAGGGAUGACGGCCUUCGGGUUGUAAACCUCUUUCACCAGGGACGAAGCGUGAGUGACGGUACCUGGAGAAGAAGCACCGGCCAACUACGUG
rnacentral:rRNA from 1 species